GAUGAACGCUGGCGGCGUGCUUAACACAUGCAGGUCGAACGGAAAGGCUCCUGCUUGCAGGGGUACUCGAGUGGCGAACGGGUGAGUAACACGUGGGUGAUCUGCCCUGCACUUCGGGAUAAGCCUGGGAAACUGGGUCUAAUACCGGAUAGGACCACAUUUUGGAUGGUGUGGUGGAAAGUUUUUCGGUGUGGGAUGAGCUCGCGGCCUAUCAGCGUGUUGGUGGGGUAAUGGCCUACCAAGGCGUCGACGGGUAGCCGGCCUGAGAGGGUGUACGGCCACAUUGGGACUGAGACACGGCCCAGACUCCUACGGGAGGCAGCAGUGGGGAAUAUUGCACAAUGGGCGCAAGCCUGAUGCAGCGACGCCGCGUGGGGGAUGACGGCCUUCGGGUUGUAAACUCCUUUCGCUAGGGACGAAGCGCAAGUGACGGUACCUGGAGAAGAAGCACCGGCUAACUACGUG
rnacentral:rRNA from 1 species